rnacentral:snRNA from 1 species
AGCUUUGCGCAGUGGCAGUCUCGUAGCCAAUGAGGUUUAUCCAAGGCGCGAUUAUUGCUAAUUGAAAUAACACUUAAGCCAUAUCUUGGAGUAUAUUUCAGUGCUGAUUUUCUGUUGAAUAACUACAAAAUUAAUUUAUUAAAAGUUAUUUUUAAG